UUCACUUCAACAUACAAGUUGACCAUGGCAUGCUCUGGGCUCCAGUCCUCUACAAAGAUGUAGGGCAGGAACUACCAGUUGUCAGCACAGCACCAUCCCACAUUGCUCUUCUAAUGGAGACUUUCACCCCAGAUGUUCUUUCUCGUCUGAUGGGAAGGAUCCAAAUGAAAAAAUUGAGGCUCAAAGAAGUCCACCAAAUUGAGAGUGAAGUAGGGGAAACAGCAUUUAACGCUUACAUUCUAAUGAUUUGUGUAAGAGCAGCAGGACAAGCUAUACAAAGAAAAAGGUGGAAUUAUCAGGAUGGAAUUAAAGAUGCUUCCAAACAGAGGGGAUAUCUCAAGCCAUGACUCAGAGAGAUCCAAUCGAGUACCAGGUCCAGCGGUAAUCUAUUCGCAGAUGUAGUGGAACAUCUCAGAAGAAUAAAAAAGAAAAUAACCUAAACAA
rnacentral:lncRNA from 10 species